UACGUAGGGGGCAAGCGUUGUCCGGAAUUAUUGGGCGUAAAGAGCUCGUAGGCGGUCUGUCGCGUCGGCUGUGAAAUCCCGAGGCUCAACCUCGGGUCUGCAGUCGAUACGAGCAAACUAGAGUGUUGCAGGGGAGACUGGAAUUCCUGGUGUAGCGGUGAAAUGCGCAGAUAUCUGGAGGAACACCGGUGGCGAAGGCGGCAUCCUGGACCAACACUGACGCUGAGGAGCGAAAGCCAGGGGAGCAAAGCGGG
rnacentral:rRNA from 1 species